GGGGGAAUAUUGCACAAUGGGCGCAAGCCUGAUGCAGCCAUGCCGCGUGUAUGAAGAAGGCCUUGGGUUGUAAAGUACUUUCAGCGGGGAGGAAGGCGAUAAGGUUAAUAACCUUGUCGAUUGACGUUACCCGCAGAAGAAGCACCGGCUAACUCCGUGCCAG
rnacentral:rRNA from 1 species